rnacentral:rRNA from 1 species
CACUGUCACUCCUACGGGAGGCAGCAGUGGGGAAUAUUGCACAAUGGGCGCAAGCCUGAUGCAGCCAUGCCGCGUGUAUGAAGAAGGCCUUCGGGUUGUAAAGUACUUUCAGCAGUGAGGAAGGUGGGUAUGUUAAUAGCAUAUUCAUUUGACGUUAGCUGCAGAAGAAGCACCGGCUAACUCCGUGCCAGCAGCCGCGGUAAUACGGAGGGUGCGAGCGUUAAUCGGAAUUACUGGGCGUAAAGCGCAUGCAGGUGGUUUGUUAAGUCAGAUGUGAAAGCCCCGGGGCUCAACCUCGGAAUUGCAUUUGAAACUGGCAAACUAGAGUACUGUAGAGGGGGUAGAAUUUCAGGUGUAGCGGUGAAAUGCGUAGAGAUCUGAAGGAAUACCGGUGGCGAAGGCGGCCCCCUGGACAGAUACUGACACUCAGAUGCGAAAGCGUGGGGAGCAAACAGGAUUAGAUACCCUGGUAG